rnacentral:piRNA from 1 species
UGUGUGUUAACUUCUGGCCCUGGCUCUCAGGC